rnacentral:lncRNA from 1 species
CAGUCUGCCUUUCGGAGAACUCACGGGGCACUUGCACUGGAUGCGCAUCAGUAGGCGAGGAGGAUGUGAAAAUGGGAGGGAUGGUUUCUUAGGCAAAGUGAAGGCCUCUGGCUGCACAGGGGCUGCUGCUUAGUUCCGCACGGGGCUGCCCUGUCCCGCCGCCUGUUUCCACAGUCCAUGUCCUCCCAGUGUGGAGAAUGGGAGGGGCUAGGUAUGAACCCACAGCCUCUUGAGCCAUGUCAGCUAAGGGGACUUGCUGGACGUUUUUUGGCAGAUGGCUGGGCCUAGAAGAAGGCUACAGCGGGACUUUAAGAUCUGGGAAAUAUGCAGAGUUGAGGCCAAGUCUU